UGCUCGAAAAGGCAAAGCCAGGGUAACCUGGCGGCGCAAAGCGGUGCACCCCGCAAAAAGUGGGGCUGGCAGGCUGCCGAA
rnacentral:ncRNA from 1 species